CGUCAUCUCAUCACAAAAAUAUUUUUUUUUUCGGGGGCAGCCAUUGAACAUACCUGGACCACAGACGGGCUCCUCUUCACCUCCUCCAGUGCCAAGGACAACGGCUUGGAGGAGGAAGAGGAUGGUGGAGGACACAGAGGAGGUGACAGCCGGGAAGAGAAGGCAACGUGAGCAGUACGACUGCGCCAAAUGCGGGUCGCCGAAGCGGUGGGAGACGGGGCACAGUCGCUUCGGCGGCGUGGCGUUCUGCUCUGUUGCUGCAGGAGGUAAGACCGUGGCCCAGUGGCUGGCGGAAAUGAAGGACGCUAAGGGGAGAGGUGAAGGACAAUGAGCCACUGGCUGGGUGGUCGGACCUUUUUAUUGGAAAUAGUUCACUGUUCUCCUCUACCUGGACCGAGACCUUGAGCGCACUGUAGAUGCUUGUGUGUGUGUGUGUUGAGGACCCUCAGAGCUAUAUUGUCUGUAGUCUAUAAGAUUACUGGUAGGGUAACCCAUGGUAAGCAGGUCUGAGGCGAGACGCCAGACUAACAUCGGUCCGUUCCAAAGCAAAAUGCACAUUGUAUUAGUACAUAAACAUCUUAUUUACAUAGUUCAAUAAAAGGACUGUAGAGCAAAGACACAGGAUCAUGAUGAACCUGUAAAAAAAAUAUAUCAAACAUUUAUCAAUACAUCUUCAAGUGAAAACUCAACUUCUUGCUAGAGCUAAUGUUUUUUUCAACAGCAGUAGCUAUAACACCUGGGUAAAACCAAUAUAAGGCAUGAAUAGCUUACCUUUUGCUCACAUUUCUGUCCACAGGUCAGUGGGCCAGAUGCACUAACGCCAAUGUUAUACAUACACCUGACUGUUAAAAGAUAUAGACUGUACGAAUGCACACAUACAUAUAUAUACCAUACAUUAAUUAUGGUGUGUUAUUUGGUUUAUAGAGAUUGCUGACAUUUAUUUAACGUUAAUUGUUUUAAUGUACAUCCAAUAAUCUUUCAUUUCAUCCUGUUUCACUAUGUACACUCUGGUUCAUCAUUAAAACUCCUAGACUGGA